CUGAAACGAACUCCUUGUAGUUUGUUGACCACAGGAUAGAACAGACCUGAGAAGAGGCCGUAACACAGAUAUUCAUGUCUCACCUGGGAAUGGGCAUCAACAGUACUGAGGCAGGCGCCAGAACACACGUUCCAGAUGCGGAUAUGUCUGUCACUAGUGCCACCUCCGGUGGCUAGAACGUUCAUCUGCCAGGGGCACCACGCCACAGCCUGAGAGAAGAGUUCAGUUUAAGACAUGCAAGAGGCAACCUGCACCCAGCCAGUGCUGCACAUCUGCCUUGCACACAGACAUCUGUCCAUGGCAGCCCUGUGCUCACCUUGACAGCACCCUGGUGCUGAGUGAAGGUCUGUACAGGAGCAAAGUCUCCGCCACCCCCUUGGGUGCAUGGCCAGACAUUCACCAGAUUGUCGUUGCCACCACUGGCCAGGUAUCUGCCAUCUAGAGACCAUUUGAGUCCGCACACCUCCUGUGUGUGGCCAGCAAGGGUGGCCACAUGAUGCUCAGCUACUCGGACAUCAUGGUGAUGGAUGUGGCCAGUCCGUGCCCCACUGCAGAGAAAAGAGAAGGUUUGCAGGGUCAGGCUGACAUGUUUUCACCCAAAUCCAUUUUUUGUUGUUGCAAGACUACUGUACCUGCCACUGCAUUUCAACCAGUGUUAUCAGCAACACUGGUCUGUUGGUGUGAAUGAAACAGGCACACAAGCUCUUUACAACUUCAGCACAAAGUGCAAUACAGAUGAGAGACCUUCUCCUCACAGUGCCAACCCAAGCCAGGACAGAAACUUCUCCCUGCCAUCCCUAACCCACACCAUGCAUAGCUUGAGGUAUAGGAAUUUGUAACUGGCAACUGCCCUCGACCCACUCAUCUCCACCCACUGCUUUACCUGGAGAGGAUGUAGCUGUUCCAGCUGAGGGUUCCUACACGGGCACAGUGGCUGGUCAUGUUUCGGAGACGUUUCUGCUGCUGAAUGUCCCAUAGCUA